rnacentral:rRNA from 1 species
UCCAGACUCCUACGGGAGGCAGCAGUGGGGGAUAUUGCACAAUGGGGGAAACCCUGAUGCAGCGACGCCGCGUGGGCGAAGAAGUAUUUCGGUAUGUAAGGCCCUAUCAGCAGGGAAGAAGAAAUGACGGUACCUGAGUAAGAAGCACCGGCUAAAUACGUGCCAGCAGCCGCGGUAAUACGUAUGGUGCAAGCGUUAUCCGGAUUUACUGGGUGUAAAGGGAGCGCAGGCGGCACGGCAAGCCUGAUGUGAAAGCCCGCGGCCCAACCGCGGGACUGCAUUGGGAACUACCGGGCUGGAGUGCCGGAGAGGUAGGCGGAAUUCCUAGUGUAGCGGUGAAAUGCGUAGAUAUAAGGAAGAACACCAGUGGCGAAGGCGGAUGACUGGACGGCAACUGACGGUGAGGCGCGAAAGCGUGGGGAGCAAACGGGAUUAGAUACCCCAGUACG